rnacentral:sRNA from 1 species
AAUUUUUUGCAACUCAAAUUAAUAAAACUAUAAAAAUUCUUGAUUUAGAAAAGUAAUUCUCAGGUUCGUCUGGCAUUUUGGCAAUGCAAAUCUUCCUGGUAUCCCUAAAAAGCAAGAUUUUUUCUUUUCCAUGUCUCCUAGCUGUUUUCAGCUGAAAUCCUGAGAUGGAGGAAAGAGAAUCCAACUGAUAGCUCUUUUCUUGAGAAAUUCAGAACCUGACCAGAAGCAGAGCAACAUAGAAAACCCCAAGUAUAAAGUUACUCUUUAGGACUUGAGGCUCUUUCAAGAGGUUCUUUUGUUGGGGGUCACCUCUUCUGUCAUAAGGAAGGGAGGAAAAUGGAGCCUUCCUCUGGCCAUUUACCCUUGCAGUAUACCUGUUUUCCGUUUCUUUUCGUGAAGGUAAACAUGGCCUCCCACCUUCAGAGACCAUAGCCAUCGUGGAGCACAUAAACACCAAGUGUCCUAACCUGGAGUUUGUGGGGCUGAUGACCAUAGGAAGCUUUGGGCAUGAUCUUAGUCAAGGACCAAAUCCAGACUUCCAGCUAUUAUUGUCCCUCCGGGAGGAGCUGUGUAAAAAGCUGAACAUCCCUGCUGACCAGGUUGAGCUGAGCAUGGGCAUGUCCGUGGAUUUCCAGCAUGCGAUUGAAGUAGGAUCUACAAAUGUCCGAAUAGGAAGCAUGAUUUUUGGAGAGCGGGAUUACUCAAAGAAACCCGCCCCGGACAAGUGUGCAGCAGAUGUGAAGGCCUCG